rnacentral:rRNA from 1 species
UACGGAGGGAGCUAGCAGUUAUUCGGAAUUACUGGGCGUAAAGCGCACGUAGGCGGCUUUGUAAGUUAGAGGUGAAAGCCUGGAGCUCAACUCCAGAAUUGCCUUUAAGACUGCAUCGCUUGAAUCCAGGAGAGGUGAGUGGAAUUCCGAGUGUAGAGGUGAAAUUUGUAGAUAUUAGGAAGAACACCAGUGGCGAAGGCGGCUCACUGGCCCGGUACUGACGCUGAGGCGCGAAAGCGUGGGGAGCAAAGCA